GACAAACGCUGGCGGCGCGCUUAACACAUGCAAGUCGAGCGAGAACCAGGGCUUCGGCCCUGGGGAAAGCGGCGAACGGGUGAGUAACACGUGAGUAACCUGUCCUCGGCACCGGGAUAGCCCGGGGAAACCCGGAUUAAUACCGGAUGGCCUUUCGGGUCUUCGGACUCGUCAGAAAAGGGAGCUUCGGCCUCCGGCCGGGGAGGGACUCGCGGCGGAUUAGCUUGUUGGUGAGGUAACGGCUCACCAAGGCGACGANCCGUAGCUGGUCUGAGAGGACGAUCAGCCACACUGGGACUGAGACACGGCCCAGACUCCUACGGGAGGCAGCAGUGGGGAAUCUUGCGCAAUGGGCGAAAGCCUGACGCAGCGACGCCGCGUGCGGGAAGAAGGCC
rnacentral:rRNA from 1 species